rnacentral:rRNA from 1 species
CAGCAGCCGCGGGAACACGGAGGGUGCGAGCGUUAAUCGGAAUUACUGGGCGUAAAGCGUACGCAGGCGGUCUGUUAAGUCAGAUGUGAAAUCCCCGGGCUUAACCCGGGAACUGCAUUUGAAACUGGCAGGCUAGAGUCUCGUAGAGGGGGGUAGAAUUCCAGGUGUAGCGGUGAAAUGCGUAGAUAUUCGGAAGAACACCAGUGGCGAAGGCGACCACCUGGACUGAUACUGACACUGAGGUGCGAAAGCGUGGGGAGCAAACAGGAUUAGAUACCCCAGUAGUCCCUGUCUCUUAUAC